rnacentral:rRNA from 1 species
CCCAGACUCCUACGGGAGGCAGCAGUGAGGAAUAUUGGUCAAUGGGCGGGAGCCUGAACCAGCCAAGUCGCGUGAGGGAAGACGGUCCUAUGGAUUGUAAACCUCUUUAGGCGGGGAGCAAUGCCGGGCACGUGUGCCCGGAGGGAGAGUACCCGCAGAAUAAGCAUCGGCUAACUCCGUGCCAGCAGCCGCGGUAAUACGGAGGAUGCGAGCGUUAUCCGGAUUUAUUGGGUUUAAAGGGUGCGUAGGCGGAUUUGUAAGUCAGCGGUAAAAUGUCCGGGCUCAACCCGGGCCGGCCGUUGAAACUGGGGAUCUUGAGUGGGCGAGAAGUAUGCGGAAUGCGUGGUGUAGCGGUGAAAUGCAUAGAUAUUACACAGAACACCGAUUGCGAAGGCAGCUUGCUAGGCCGGAUCUGACACUGAUGCACGAAAGCGUGGGGAUCGAACAGGAUUAGAUACCCCAGUA